UACGUAGGGGGCGAGCGUUAUCCGGAAUUAUUGGGCGUAAAGAGUGCGUAGGUGGUUACCUAAGCGCAAGGUUUAAGCUUGAGGCUCAACCUCAUUUUGCCUUGCGAACUGGGCUACUUGAGUGCAGGAGGGGAAAGCGGAAUUCCUAGUGUAGCGGUGAAAUGCGUAGAUAUUAGGAAGAACACCAGUGGCGAAGGCGGCUUUCUGGACUGUAACUGACACUGAGGCACGAAAGCGUGGGGAGCAAACAGG
rnacentral:rRNA from 1 species